rnacentral:rRNA from 1 species
UACGGGGGGGGCAAGCGUUGUUCGGAAUUACUGGGCGUAAAGGGCGCGUAGGCGGCCCGCUAAGUCGAACGUGAAAUCCCCGAGCUCAACUCGGGAACUGCGUCCGAUACUGGCGGGCUUGAAUCCGGGAGAGGGAUGCGGAAUUCCAGGUGUAGCGGUGAAAUGCGUAGAUAUCUGGAGGAACACCGGUGGCGAAGGCGGCAUCCUGGACCGGUAUUGACGCUGAGACGCGAAAGCGUGGGGAGCAAACAGG